UGAUUAGGCCAAAAAAAAAAUAUAUGUCUGUUUCCUGUUUCCCGACCGACCCUGACUCAAAGCCCCCGACCCUAGAUCUUUUUAUUCAAUUCCGGAAAAAAAUCGUUUCCGGUCCGGAAAAAUUCGGUUCCGGUCCGAUCCAGAUCCGUAUUUUACUAUACCCAAACAAUCAAAAUGGCUGCUCCCAGCACAAAUGUGCUACAAUUAAGGUUUAAAAAAUGUCGGCACUGGGAGGAUUAUUCAAUUAAAGCUUCUUUAAAGAGAUUAAAUGAUUUUAGGGUACAGGACCCUAACCAAACAUGACUUUUAACCAUCUGCAAAUCUGAC
rnacentral:lncRNA from 1 species